CCUACGGGAGACAGCAGUGAGGAAUAUUGGUCAAUGGCCGGAAGGCUGAACCAGCCAUGCCGCGUGAAGGUCAGUGCCCUAUGGGCGUUAAACUUCUUUUGUGCGGGAGCAAUAAUGGUCACGUGUGGCCAGACGAGAGUACCGUACGAAUAAGCAUCGGCUAACUCCGUGCCAGCAGCCGCUGUACUACGGGGGAUGCAAGCGUUAUCCGGAUUUAUUGGGUUUAACGGGUGCGUAGGCUGUGAGGUAAGUCAGCGGUGAAAUGCCCCCGCUCAACGGGGUGAAGUGCCAUUGAUACUGCCUGGCUGGAAUGCGGAUGCCGUGGGAGGAAUGUGUGGUGUAGCGGUGAAAUGCAUAGAUAUCACACAGAACACCGAUUGCGAAGGCAUCUCACGAAUCCGCGAUUGACGCUGAUGCACGAAAGCGUGGGUAUCAAACAGGAGUAGAUACCCGAGUAGUC
rnacentral:rRNA from 1 species